rnacentral:rRNA from 1 species
UACAGAGGUCUCAAGCGUUGUUCGGAUUCAUUGGGCGUAAAGGGUGCGUAGGCGGCGCGGUAAGUCGGGUGUGAAAGCCCGGAGCUUAACUCCGGUUGGUCGGUGGAUACUGGACUUCUUGAAGGGACUAGAGGGAGAUGGAAUUACCGGUGUAGCGGUGAAAUGCGUAGAGAUCGGUAGGAACACCCGUGGCGAAGGCGGUCUCCUGGGGUCCUCUUGACGCUGAGGCGCGAAAGCUGGGGGAGCGAACGGG